ACUAAAAGUAAUUCAUAAAUGUUUAAAAUAAAGCUAAUAAAUGCUGGCAAAAUGGUUGACAGAUUGGUAAAAGUAAUGGAUAAACAGAUAGAUGGUGAAUAGUUGAAACAAUUAGCUAAAAGUCGUUGAUAAAUGGUUCAAAACAGAUUGAAACAAGUCAUGAAUGGAGGCUAGUUGAAGCUGUUAACCUUGCUAAAGUAAUGGAUACACAGUCGACACAGGUUAAAGUAAUGAAUUAACAGUUAGCUGGUUUAAAUGGGACAGCUAAACAAAAUGGAUACAAAGUGAAAUAGCAAAUAGCAGCCUUAGUAAUGGAUAAAAUGGCAAUUUAGGCUAAGGUAAGCUAAAAGUUAGCCAAUGUUAAAGAUGCACAAAACACACAUAAGCAAUAGAAGCAUACAUGAGAUAAGACGUAUUGUAGAAUGAUCCUUAAUGUUUUCAUGUUUUUUAAUUCAACACUGAGUUUGACUUUCCCUCUUUUAUUUUGCAGGCGAAUGGCCCGACUUCCCCUUUUGGUUCUGGUUCCCCCUGCAGGGCUUGAUGCUGACGGCUGCUGUCAGAGGAUACAGGAAGUAGGCCGGCACCAGCACGGAGCCAUGUUGGAGAGGUCACUGUCAGCUGUUUUGCACUGCAGGCUGCUGCCUCUGGGUGGCAAUGUGUUAAAAUAGCACCAGGACAAGUUGGACUUUUUGCUGAACAUCAACACUUAAUAACACAAACAGGACUUGCGCUGCGGUGUGCGACGCAGACAGGAUUCUUUGGCUGGUUUUCAAGCAACAGAUUACACAAGAUAAUGCCUUAAGGUCGGAGGGGGAAAAAAAAAGUGCAUUUUUAUACUUCUUUGGAUCUAAACACGGGGCUUUGGGUAGAGGAGGCUAAUGCCGAGCCAAAAUGACAGACGCUCUCAGACAGUUGCACACAUCGCGCACGCACACAACACAAGUCCUCUGCUGCCAAAGAACCUCUUCAGCCCGAGCAUUUCAUCUAUGAGAUAAAACAGAGCUGAAAUAAGCUAGUUCGGUUGCCAAUAGAGGCAAGGGGAGAGGAGAAACAGCGAGAGAGAGAGAGAGAGAGAGAGAAAGGAGAGAGACAGGGAGGAGGGGGAGUGAAGAGAAAGCGGGAGGGAGAAAAAAGGGUGAUGAUAAAACUCCACUGUGAGCCCUCCUGUAAGCUCAGUCAGAGCAAAAGGAGCAACUGAGACCAGAGGGACAACGGAGAGCCGACAGAAGAGGGAAGCUACCGCCAAACAAAUCACAGCACUCUGACGUGAGACUCGCACGUGGCCUGUCGGAGGAAGCACCUGAGCUGACACUGCUAACUGCAGAGCUUUACGUUUUCGUGAAAGUGCUGAGGAACGAACUUAUACUAUAAGGAGACAAGAAGGAAUCAAAGCUCCUGGACCUCAUCCAUCUCCCGCUGGUCGAUUUUGUACACUGAGCUGCUUCUUUUGAUCCGGACUUUGGUGGAUCCUGCAGCGCUCUCACACCAGCAACAACCCUGCUGGAGUCUGGAUCCACUGCUCAGUGUGAGAAGCAGCAGGAGAGAGCUGAGGAGGAAAAGGAGAAUAUUGCCAUCCAUCUCUCAGCCCCCCCUCCCGGGCAGCCCACCCUCAGCUUCUGACGCCCCUCCUCUCUGCCUCUUCUUUUGCCCCCUGUACACCCCCUCCUCCUCCUCCUCCUCCACCUCCUCCUCCUCCUCCUCCACACCUCACCCCCCAACAGAGCAGAAAGCGUGAAAAAUCUCACUAAUGGGUUUAUUUGCUGUCAGAUCUGCGCCGAUCUGUCAUUCCCUUGGACCAUUCUGCUUGACACAUUUCAUAGUUGAGUAAGCCUCCUGGCUUCUCUGGCUAGAGUUAACAGUGCCCCUGCAACGCUGCGCUGGCUGAGAGCUCAUCAAGAAGGGGAGCAACGGCGGCAGCAGUCAGUCUGACAGUCUCUUCUUGGACGGGGAGUCCCUGAAGCUGCAUUCCUCUGGUCUCCUUCUCCCCCCCCCCCCCUCCCCGUUGGGACUUUUGUGUUUUUGUGAGCCUCGUGGGCAUCCUCAAGCUUUCUGUCCUCGGCACAAGAUUCAGGCGUUUUGUGUUUUUUCUGCAG
ensembl:lncRNA